rnacentral:rRNA from 1 species
AGGACGAACGCUGGCGGCGUGCUUAACACAUGCAAGUCGAGCGGAAAGGCCCUUCGGGGUACUCGAGCGGCGAACGGGUGAGUAACACGUGAGUAAUCUGCCCCUAGCUCUGGGAUAGCUCCGGGAAACCGGGAUUAAUACCGGAUACGACCACCUUAGACAUCUUUUGUGGUGGAAAGAAUUUCGGCUAGGGAUGAGCUCGCGGCCUAUCAGCUUGUUGGUGGGGUAACGCCUACCAAGGCGACGAUCCGUAGCUGGUCUGAGAGGACGAUCAGCCACACUGGGACUGAGACACGGCCCAGACUCCUACGGGAGGCAGCAGUGGGGAAUCUUGCGCAAUGGGCGAAAGCCUGACGCAGCGACGCCGCGUGGGGGAAGAAGGCUUUCGGGUUGUAAACCCCUUUCAGGAAGGACGAAGCCACUCGGGUGAAUAGCCCAGAGGGUGACGGUACUUCCAGAAGAAGCCCGGCUAACUACGUGCCAGCAGCCGCGGUAA